rnacentral:rRNA from 1 species
GAUAAACGCUGGCGGCGCAUAUAAGACAUGCAAGUUGAACGGACUUAAUCGAAAUAUUUAUAUUUUGAAGCGGUUAGUGGCGGACUGGUGAGUAACGCGUAAGGAACCUGCCUAUUAGAGGGGAAUAACAGUGAGAAAUCAUUGCUAAUACCGCAUAUGCCAUAGAUAUCACAUGAUAACAGUGGGAAAGGAGCAAUCCGCUAAUAGAUGGCCUUGCGUCUGAUUAGAUAGUUGGUGGGGUAACGGCCUACCAAGUCGACGAUCAGUAGCCGGACUGAGAGGUUGAACGGCCACAUUGGGACUGAGAUACGGCCCAGACUCCUACGGGAGGCAGCAGUCGGGAAUAUUGCGCAAUGGAGGAAACUCUGACGCAGUGACGCCGCGUAUAGGAAGAAGGUUUUCGGAUUGUAAACUAUUGUCGUUAGGGAAGAGAAAGGACAGUACCUAAGGAGGAAGCUCCGGCUAACUACGUG